AUUUUGUUGUAGGGAGUAACCCAAAGGAAUAGCUGUUAAUCCAGUUUCUGGCACCCAAAUCAAUGGUUUAAAUCCUUUGUCAUUGAUAUUCAGGUUUCUUCAACUUAGCCUUGGUAAAGGACAAGUUGUAUACACUGCCACUUUUAUUUUUCAAGGAGAUACACCUCUUCCCCUCUACUGAUUAUGACUUUAAGGACUGAUGCUUCCCAUUUUAAUGUGGUUAGGGACUGUCCAUGCUCGUCUGAGUAUAAUUAUAGAUUGAGAUGGGCCAGUUUUCCCUUGUGGUAUGGGUGUGGUCAUUAUGCCGGGCAUCUCUUCUGUAAGAUUUUGGUCUACUGAUUUGCUGCCCUCUCUUCUUUUAUUUUUGUCAAUAUCUGGCAGACCAGAGCUACAUGUGUCAUGGCACAGGGGAAUUUUGCUAACUUCAGCGAGUCAUCACCCACUCUCUGCUGUGCUGGCCCUGGUAAGGUGCACAUCUAUCCCUCUCAGCAGGUUUGCUCCUUAGGUAAGCCAUAUGAGAAUUCUGACUUCACUGUUUUGAACUAAGAAAUGAUAUAGCUUUUUAAUCUCUUCUUCAGGGAAUGGUAGUAAAGCACACAUGUUCAGUGGUGAGGAAGUGAGUGGUUAGUAGCAGCAGCCAACCCUGGGAUCUUCAAGUGGUACUGCAAGAAUAACAUGUUAGGCUCUGACUGGACUUGUUCUCAGAAACUAACCUAACUUAGAAUUGCUUAAUAUUCUAAUGAUCUCUUUUUGGGUCAGAUGGCAAUAUACAUUACUGUUAAGAAGUUCUCUAGAAUAUUGCCAGUACCCUGAAAAACCUUCAGCAGAAAACAGUUACAACUUUUAGUCACUUUUUCAUUCAUGUAAAGGUACCAACCUUCCAAGUCAUAGAAUUGUGACCACUAAGUUUGAUCUACAGUUUAUGUUGAGGACCUCAUGUGUUCAAGAGUGGAAAAGUGAUGGGAGAAGGCUUUGGCUCCAAACAGGCUAUGGCUUGUCUUUGUCACUUACAGAAUUGUAUGUGCAAAGUACAGAGUCUGUGCAGUAACAAGGAUUAAACACCAGGGCUCCAGGUGUGAGGGGAGGGAGUUGUGUCUCAGUCAAGAGUGGUUAAUCUUAGAGCUGUUUUCAUAGAAGGUUUGUGUACUUUUGUUUAAAAGUUUAGCUCUACCUGAAAGGCUGUAAAGUGCUAAUAUUCAUUAUCCUGAGAGACCUCUUUUCCUCCCCUUUCCAGGUAUCGGUGCCAUUCUUCCCAAACCCUUAAGCAUCCUCCCAUAAUGCACACACUUAAAUGCUGUUAUUAGGUUGUAUGGAAAAAUUUAACAAGCAAUUCUUAAUGAAGGAUAAAGCCCUGACCCUUCAGUACCAUAUUUACAAUUCAGUCUUCUAAACUAUUUGCACCUUGAGAAUCCUUAAAAUAACAUUCAUCAAUAAACUCUUGUCUUAAGGAAGCA
rnacentral:lncRNA from 1 species